UGGGGAAUAUUGCACAAUGGGCGCAAGCCUGAUGCAGCGACGCCGCGUGAGGGAUGGAGGCCUUCGGGUUGUAAACCUCUUUUGUUUGGGAGCAAGCCUUCGGGUGAGUGUACCUUUCGAAUAAGCGCCGGCUAACUACGUGCCAGCAGCCGCGGUAAUACGUAGGGCGCAAGCGUUAUCCGGAUUUAUUGGGCGUAAAGGGCUCGUAGGCGGCUCGUCGCGUCCGGUGUGAAAGUCCAUCGCUUAACGGUGGAUCUGCGCCGGGUACGGGCGGGCUGGAGUGCGGUAGGGGAGACUGGAAUUCCCGGUGUAACGGUGGAAUGUGUAGAUAUCGGGAAGAACACCGAUGGCGAAGGCAGGUCUCUGGGCCGUCACUGACGCUGAGGAGCGAAAGCGUGGGGAGCGAACAGGAUUAGAUACCCUGGUAGUCCACGCCGUAAACGGUGGACGCUGGAUGUGGGGCACGUUCCACGUGUUCCGUGUCGGAGCUAACGCGUUAAGCGUCCCGCCUGGGGAGUACGGCCGCAAGGCUAAAACUCAAAGAAAUUGACGGGGGCCCGCACAAGCGGCGGAGCAUGCGGAUUAAUUCGAUGCAACGCGAAGAACCUUACCUGGGCUUGACAUGUUCCCGACGACGCCAGAGAUGGCGUUUCCCUUCGGGGCGGGUUCACAGGUGGUGCAUGGUCGUCGUCAGCUCGUGUCGUGAGAUGUUGGGUUAAGUCCCGCAACGAGCGCAACCCUCGCCCCGUGUUGCCAGCACGUUAUGGUGGGAACUCACGGGGGACCGCCGGGGUUAACUCGGAGGAAGGUGGGGAUGACGUCAGAUCAUCAUGCCCCUUACGUCCAGGGCUUCACGCAUGCUACAAUGGCCGGUACAGCGGGAUGCGACAUGGCGACAUGGAGCGGAUCCCUGAAAACCGGUCUCAGUUCGGAUCGGAGCCUGCAACCCGGCUCCGUGAAGGCGGAGUCGCUAGUAAUCGCGGAUCAGCAACGCCGCGGUGAAUGCGUUCCC
rnacentral:rRNA from 1 species